AUUAAUCGGGGGAAUCAGAUAUCCUAAGGUCGUUACGAGACUAGACAAUUUCUGGCUUUCAAACUCUUUGUUCGGUUCAGCAUCAUGUUUGAUGAACAUGGGCUAUUAGCUCAGGUGGUUAGAGCGCACCCCUGAUAAGGGUGAGGUCCCUGGUUCGAGUCCAGGAUGGCCCACCUUAAGUGUUAUUCACUUAUCUCUUUGGAACUGGGGGUAUAGCUCAGUUGGUAGAGCGCUGCCUUUGCAAGGUAAAUGUCAGCGGUUCCAGUCCGCUUACCUCCAUAGUUUCCAUUCAUGCAACUCAUCUAACUACUGAAUCUACAAAGACGGAACUAAAACACAGCAACUUAUCUGAAGUCAUCUAUCUAUAUAGAGACCAGAAAGACUGCUGGAUUUUAACCAGCAAUGAACCUUGAAAACUGCAUAAAGAAAAGAAUCAAAGGUAAAACUUUUCAAUUAACCUCUGUUAAAACAGACUAAUUGAAAAGCUGUCCAAAAAAAGAAGCCCAAA
rnacentral:tRNA from 1 species